rnacentral:lncRNA from 1 species
ACCACAAGCUAGACCCCUCUUCUGACCUUGUCAAACACCUAAAGGGACUCCCUUGAGGCUGACUCUCCAAAAGAAACACCAACAGACACAAAUUUAACUUUUGAUUGAAACGACGAAGAAGCUGUGCUAUUCCCAAACUGGGAAACUGGAAUCACCUGAUUUGAAAGUGGGAUAACUUUUUCAUACCAACUCCUAUGAGAUUUAUUCAACUACCUGGUGAUUCUACACCACUUUAUGUAUCCAAAUCAAGCUUUUCACAAAGUGAGUCAUCCUGGUUUGAUUGGAACGACGAAGAAGCUAUGCUAUUCCCGAACUGGGAAACUGGAAUCACCUGAUUUAAAAGUGGGAUAACUUCUUCAUGCCAACUCCUAUGAGAUUUAUUCAACUUCCUGGUGAUUCUCCACCACUUUAUGUAUCCAAAUCAAGCUUUUCACAAAGU